rnacentral:rRNA from 1 species
AUUGAACGCUGGCGGCAGGCCUAACACAUGCAAGUCGAACGAGCGGCGGACGGGAGAGUAAUGUCUGGGAAACUGCCUGAUGGAGGGGGAUCACCACUGGAAACGGUAGCUAAUACCGCAUACCCUCAGAUGUGCCCAGAUGUGAUUAUCUUGUAGGUGGGGUAAUGGCUCACCAAGGCGACGAGCCCUAGCUGGUCUGAGAGGAUGACCAGCCACACGGGAACUGGGACACGGUCGAGACGCCUACGGGAGGCAGCAGUGGGGAAUAUUGCAGAAUGGGAGCAAGCCUGAUGCAGCCAUGCCGCGUGUAUGAAGAAGGCCUUCGGGUUGUAAAGAACUUUCAGCGGGGAGGCGUUACCCGCAGAAGAAGCACCGGCUAACUCCGUGCCAGCAGCCGCGGUAAUAC